rnacentral:rRNA from 1 species
UUCCGUAGGGGGACCUGCGGAGGGAUCAUUACAGAGUUGCAAAACUCCAACAAACCAUCGCGAAUCUUACCCGUACGGUUGCCUCGGCGCUGGCGGUCCGGAAGGCCCUCGGGCCCCCCGGAUCCUCGGGUCUCCCGCUCGCGGGAGGCUGCCCGCCGGAGUGCCGAAACCAAACUCUUGAUAUUUUAUGUCUCUCUGAGUAAACUUUUAAAUAAGUCAAAACUUUCAACAACGGAUCUCUUGGUUCUGGCAUCGAUGAAGAACGCAGCGAAAUGCGAUAAGUAAUGUGAAUUGCAGAAUUCAGUGAAUCAUCGAAUCUUUGAACGCACAUUGCGCUCGCCAGUAUUCUGGCGAGCAUGCCUGUUCGAGCGUCAUUUCAACCAUCAAGCUCUGCUUGCGUUGGGGAUCCGCGUCUGACGCGGUCCCUCAAAAACAGUGGCGGGCUCGCUAGUCACACCGAGCGUAGUAACUCUACAUCGCUAUGGUCGUGCGGCGGGUUCUUGCCGUAAAACCCCCAAUUUCUAAGGUUGACCUCGGAUCAGGUAGGAAUACCCGCUGAACUUAAGCAUAUCAUAG